rnacentral:rRNA from 1 species
UAGGGAAUAUUGCACAAUGGGCGAAAGCCUGAUGCAGCAACGCCGCGUGCGCGAUGAAGGCCUUCGGGUUGUAAAGCGCUUUUCGGGGAGACGAGGAAGGACGGUAUCCCCGGAAUAAGGAUCGGCUAACUACGUGCCAGCAGCCGCGGUAAAACGUAGGAUCCGAGCGUUAUCCGAAUUCACUGGGCGUAAAGCGCGAGCAGGCGGUACGAUAAGUUGGGUGUAAAAUCUCCUGGCUCAACUGGGAGAGGACGUUCAAUACUGUCGAACUAGAGGGCGGUAGAGGGAGGUGGAAUUCCCGGUGUAGUGGUGAAAUGCGUAGAUAUCGGGAGGAACACCAGUGGCGAAAGCGGCCUCCUGGACCGCGCCUGACGCUGAGAUGCGAAAGCUAGGGGAGCAA